CAUAAAUCCCCUCAGUAAAAUCACCAAGACGUCACCGUGGAGUUAUCAAGUCUGUUUUGCUGACUGGACAGCUAGCUUCCACAGCUAGUGGGUCUAUGACGAUGACUUCUGUUUUGUUUGCCGUUUUACUGCCGUGUUACGGACACCAUUGGGAAACAAUUAAGGAGCAGAGCUUGGCACCAAAACAUUUUGGACUAUUCCAUGCUCCCAACCUUGUGGGAACAGUAUGGAGUGGGCCCCUUCCAUGUCCAACAUGACAAGGUCCAUAAAGACGUGGAUGACAGAGUCUGGAGUGGAUGAACUUGACUGGCCUGCACAGAGUCCUGACCUGAAUCCGAUAGAACACCUUUGGGAUGAAUUAGAACAGAGACUGAGAGCCAAGCCUUCUCUUGUGUGACCUCACCAAUGCGCUUUUGGACGAAUGGUGGAAAAAUCCUAUAAACAAACAUUGCAACCUUG